CCGACGGGGGGCAGCAGUGAGGAAUAUUGGUCAAUGGGCGAGAGCCUGAACCAGCGAAGUAGCGUGAAGGAUGACGGCCCUACGGGUUGUAAACUGCGUUUAUAAAGGAAUAAAGUGAGGCACGUGUGCCUUUUUGUAUGUACUUUAUGAAUAAGGAUCGGCUAACUCCGUGCCAGCAGCAGCGGUAAUACGGAGGAUCCGAGCGUUAUCCGGAUUUAUUGGGUUUAAAGGGAGCGUAGAUGGGUUUUUAAGUACGUUGUGAAAGUUUGCGGCUCAACCGUAAAAUUCCAUUUUCUACUGGCAGUCUUGAGUACAGUUGAGGUAGGCGGAAUUCUUGUUGUAGCGG
rnacentral:rRNA from 1 species